rnacentral:rRNA from 1 species
GAAUAUUGCUCAAUGGGCGCAAGCCUGAAGCAGCGACGCCGCGUGGGUGAAGAAGGAUUUCGGUCUGUAAAGCCCUUUUCUGUGUGACGAGAGUGGACGGUAGCACAGGAAUAAGUCUCGGCUAACUACGUGCCAGCAGCCGCGGUAAAACGUAGGAGGCAAGCGUUAUCCGGAGUUACUGGGCGUAAAGCGCGUGCAGGUGGUUCAAUAAGUUGGUUAUGAAAGCCCCUGGCUAAACUGGGAGAGGUUGACCAAGACUGUUGGACUAGAGUGGAUGAGAGGUAAGUGGAAUUCCUUGUGUAGUGGUGAAAUGCGUAGAUAUGAGGAAGAACACCAGUGGCGAAGGCGACUUACUGGCAUCCAACUGACACUCAGACGCGAAAGCAUGGGUAGCGAACGGG